rnacentral:lncRNA from 1 species
GCUCUGAUGUCUUGACAGUUGAUCUGUUUUCCUUGUAAGCAUUUGGUUGGCAACACAUGCGUGUUUACAUGUGUGUGCAUGUAUUCUUGGCCAUAUCUAGUUUUUGGUAUCAUCAUAUAACAUGAGCUCACUCUAGAAAGUUUUCCCUUGCCGUCAAGGCAUAACUGUAUCGAAGCCAAUCUGAGUGCUUUUUCCAUGCGAAAAGCAGUAUAGUGACCUUGAUAAUCUAGACUUGCAAAAAUGCAAUUAUAAAAUAGGGAGCCAUGCCACUAAGGCCUUGGCUCUGUUCGCAAGUCUUGAGGUCUUUGCCUUUGAGUGCCCAAGUUCAAGUCCCACCCUCCUGAAAAUUAUGUGUGGGUUGGUUAGUUUGUUGAAUUGAAUUUUUAGUUAGUUAGUUUGAAUUGAGUUUAGUCAUUCAAUUCAGUAGUUGUAAUGAAUGAUUCUUAUUGGAACUGUUGGUGGGAUUGUUAGAGGGUCCUAGUUUUGUUCAUGUUGGAAAUAGGUAAUUACCUCUGAACUAAUAGUUAAUGAAGCAUUUUACCCUUUCUUAACUCUUGAAAUUUGAGAUUUUCUCAGUAAAUAGUAAGAUAAAGUCUGCAUUUUUAAUGAUGGCAAGUUUUGUAAAUAUCAAAAUCCUCAAAAGUUAAUAAAACACUACAAUCUAGACUCGAUCUAUAUAGUUUGUUGCCUGUUAGACUAUAUCAUAUGUACCAAAUAUAAAAAACUCAAAGUUGGUAGCAGAGAAAAUGAUAGGCAAUAAGGCAUGAUGAAACAAACAGUUUGUUGCAGAAGAACCAAUCUUCUUCUAAAUCACUGUACUUAGACUGUAGGGUUUUGUUGCGACUGUGGGGUUGCAAUUAUCAUGGUACAGUUUCUGAGACACAUGUUUGUAGUUCUCAAAAACUGACAUAGCUUAGUAGUUUCAUGUUUCGUAAUACUUGUGUGGUUCUGGUUGUUAUGUUGGGUUAUCCCGAACUCCUGAUAUCAACUGUUUCUUAUUAUUGAUAGCAAGAGAUGACAUUGUGCGAUCGAGCUGCAUUAACACGGCUUGUAUAUUGAAAUGCUUUAUUUUUCACCUUCCCGAGUGCUUGUAUUACUGGCUUUCUUAAGAUUUAUUCACUUAUUGCGUUUUCUCUGUCUAAAUUAACCCAUUAGAAACUUAUCUAGCUGUUUUUUUUCUUGCAGGGACUGAUGCAUAUCUUCAUUUGUCUCGUUUGGGAGAUUCACAAGAACCCUUGCCAUGAUUUCAUGAAAUAAGUUCAUGGCAAAAUUAGGGUUUUAGGGAAAUUGUGAUGCAUUUCUAUGGAUUUUGUAAUUUCCAAUAAAUUGGUAUUUGGCUCAUACUACAUUUCAUGUUCUAGCAUCAAUUGUUGCAAAUGGAAAAGUACCCUCCUUUACUGCUUUUAUGAACUGCCAAUUCUCCUUUAACUUUUUUAACAUUUUCUUGCGCACCAAACAUACCAGAGAAGCUUGCAGGCAUGUCUGCACUAUCGGGAUGACAAUGGGGCGGGUGAUUUAUUACACUCACUCAAGCUUACUUUGUUUCGAACUUUAUUUGAUAUUUUCGUACUUCCUCUUUCUAAAUUCAAAUUGACUUGAACUCAUUUCGUCUCGAACUUUAUUUGAUACUUUUGUAUUUUGGCUUCCGACUCUGAU